rnacentral:rRNA from 1 species
AAGGUUGACCUCGGAUCAGGUAGGACUACCCGCUGACUA